UAGGGCUUCACACGUCAUACAAUGGUCGGUAACAGAGGUUGCCAACCCGCGAGGGGGAGCUAAUCCCAACAAAGCCGAUCGUAGUCCGGAUCGCAGUCUGCAACUCGACUGCGUGAAGUCGGAAUCGCUAGUAAUCGUGGAUCAGCAUGUCACGGUGAAUACGUUCCCGGGUCUU
rnacentral:rRNA from 1 species